GCCAGUGUGGUGUAGUGGUUUCAGUGUUGGACUAUGACUCUAGAGACUAGGUUUGAAUCCCAGCUUGGCCA